rnacentral:lncRNA from 1 species
CCGAUUAGUGAUUACGAGCCCUUGAAUCAUCCCUUAAUUGACAUAAACAAAACACUUCAGAAGAAAGUUAACAAACAGAGACAAAUAUUUUAUCUAAAACUUACUGAACGAUCGCAGACAAAUGUGGAGCGACACGAGGCAAAGUGGGAAAAGAAAAAUCAAGAAGAUGAAGGGUGAAAGAAAGCAGAAAUUCGACAGCAAUGAAGAGAAAAACAGCAAGAGGGUGAAGGGAUUUUGGGGAAAGUAAAAAAAAAAGGGAAAAAAAAAGAUGAACAGAAUAUUUGAUAACUACCCCAAUCCCUUAUUUCUCUCCAUCAAACUCCCCACUAAAUCCACUAAUUAGAUUUUUAGUCCAACUCAAACUCUCCCGGACGCACGAGCAAAAAUAAUGCCCAUGCCAAAAUUCAAAC